GUCCCUGUUGCGCAAUGGACAGUGCGUUGGACUUCUCAUCCAAAGGUCGUGGGUUCGCCUUCCACUUGGGAUG